UUUCUUUAAACUUAACAAUAUCUUAAAUUUUCAUUGAAAUAUUCCACUUUUUUUCCCUUUUAAUUUCUGAAUUUGAAGAUGAAUCCAGUGAGAUUGAUGAACUUCUCAUUUACAAUAAUUGGAUUUGUGUUGUUUGCACUUGUUGAGUUCAGUUUUGGACAAGGCAUCGCUCCUUCUUUUGCUCCUCCUCCUUCUAAUAACGGCACAAUGAUUGAUCAAGGGAUUGCUUAUGUGCUUCUACUUGUUGCCCUUACAAUUACAUACUUGAUCCAUUAAUACAUAAUUUAGCUAAUUAAUUUGUGCAUUCAUAUUUUAAAUUUUAUGUAUUUUUCUCCUAUUAUUCAAAAUGGAGAAAUUUCUGAGUUUUGUGAUUAAAAGAAAAUAAGGAAAGGAUACUUAUUUGUGUUACAAAAUUCAUUUUACCUUAUUAUUAGUUUAUUACUAUUCUAUUUAUUGAGCCUUUUAUCUUGUUCCAUCGAAGAUGACAAAGCCCAUGAUUUUUUUGCUGAACAAGCUUUCGGAUAUUUUGUUUGCAAAAAUUUUACAAGAUCUUUCAUAAUGACCUGGGUUAAUAAUACGUUUAGCCUCGUCAUGAUCCACGCUAUUAUUUUAACAUUUAAUGAUCACUCAACAAGAAUUAAACAAAAUAGUUCAAACAAACACUUAUUAAAAUACAAAGAAAUAGAUUGUACUUAUAAAAACUUAUAAAAAUAUCACACAAGCGUUGGAUUGUUUGCUUUUAGCCAACUUUGUUCUCUUAAUCGUCUUUUCUACUCAUAAUAUUGUUCAAAAACACAAAAUUAGGGUAAGAGCUUGCUGUUAGGGUUCGCCAUAGAUUUACUAUUUGUAAUAUCCCAUAGUUUAAAUAAGGACAAACUAGUCGUUAGCCGAAAAAAAAACAAUAUUUUUUUUGAUCAAUAUGGGCUGUAGCCCUAAAACAAAAAAUGCAUCAACAACAAUUAAAGGGGUCUUAGGCAAAAGGCAACGCAGCAGCUAUGCAUAAAGUGGUAAUCAAUAUUUUAAGAAGCAAAUCAAUGAAAUAAAGAAGCAACGAGAGCUUCCUAGUAUCACCUGUAUGGGUUGCUCGAGUGACGAGUUUGGUACUUCAACACGAGUAUAGUGAGUAGUAAUCUUACCACAAUUUGUAUUUUUAUAAUUCUCAUGAUUUAUACAAAGUUUAUAAAGUGAAUGUGUUACCGAAUAUUUUGAACUUGCAUAUGAGACAAGUCUUUUACUUAAUAUGAUAUUGAAAUGGCUAUGUGAGAUACUCUCACUUAUGAUUUGUUUAUUGUUAAUUGAAAUAUGAUUUAUCCUUAUGAAAAAACUUUGUUAUUUACUUGAAAGUAAGUAUCUUGAUAUAUGUUUUUUUUAUGGUUUAAGUUUUAUAUAAUGUGAUUUGAUAAGAACUUGAAUGUCUUGUAAUAUUUGAAAAAUGCUUCUAGUAGUUAUAAAGAAAAGUAUAAGUGGAAGUAGACCUUGAUGGAUCCCGUAGCUAACGGCGGGUUCAUUAUACCUGGUGCACCUUGUAUUUACAGAUUACCGAUAUAGCCCUCGCUAGUGGGAAGGUAGAACUAACAUACCGUUACCGAUAUCCCUCGAGAAGGGAUCUUCUAAUAUGAAUAUUUGACUCCUUUAUGAGGGGCCACACCGAUUACAUGAUUUAUUCUUGGAAACCUUCCAAAUAUAAAAUUUAAUAUGAAAGUGUUUACUGAGUUUAUUUCUAAAUGGUUAAACUGAAAUUUGCUUACAUGAUACAGACAAGAUUGAUUUCUGUUACUGUUUUCUAAAAAGGCAUUUAUUUUAUGAUUUUGAUUAUCAUAUUAGUAUAUCUUCUGACUUGCCCCUCAUUGAAACGGUUGUCGUUAAGUUUUAUUACUCACUGAGCUAGAGUCUCACUCCUCGCUAAUUUUUUCCAGAGAGCACAGGUGAUAUUGACAUGGAUAUCGUUAGCUGGAGCUAGCAAGUUGAUUCCAUGUGAGCCCCACACUUGUUCGUACGGCAAACAAGUUAUCUACUUACUUGGACAUUUUCAUGAAUUCUUAAGAGUCGCUCCAUAGUCAUUUCCUUUAUAAGGGUCAUGAGUAUUCUUUCGUGUUGUAGCCAUAUGAUUAGUUUUAGACUUCUUUUCGUAUUUGAAGAUGUAUUAAUAUUAUUGUGUGGUGAUUAUAUUGUUGAUGGA